UCUGGCGGCGAGUGGCGAACGGGUGAGUAAUAUAUCGGAACGUGCCUAGUAGCGGGGGAUAACUACUCGAAAGAGUAGCUAAUACCGCAUACGCCCUACGGGGGAAAGGGGGGGAUCGCAAGACCUCUCACUAUUAGAGCGGCCGAUAUCGGAUUAGCUAGUUGGUGGGGUAAAGGCCCACCAAGGCGACGAUCCGUAGCUGGUUUGAGAGGACGACCAGCCACACUGGGACUGAGACACGGCCCAGACUCCUACGGGAGGCAGCAGUGGGGAAUUUUGGACAAUGGGGGAAACCCUGAUCCAGCCAUUCCGCGUGUGCGAUGAAGGCCUUCGGGUUGUAAAGCACUUUUGGCAGGAAAGAAAUCGCACAAAUUAAUACUUUGUGUGGAUGACGGUACCUGCAGAAUAAGCACCGGCUAACUACGUGCCAGCAGCCGCGGUAAUACGUAGGGUGCAAGCGUUAAUCGGAAUUACUGGGCGUAAAGCGUGCGCAGGCGGUUAUGCAAGACAGAUGUGAAAUCCCCGGGCUCAACCUGGGAACUGCAUUUGUGACUGCAUGGCUAGAGUACGGUAGAGGGGGAUGGAAUUCCGCGUGUAGCAGUGAAAUGCGUAGAUAUGCGGAGGAACACCGAUGGCGAAGGCAAUCCCCUGG
rnacentral:rRNA from 1 species